rnacentral:rRNA from 1 species
AACGAACGCUGGCGGCAGGCUUAACACAUGCAAGUCGAGCGCCCCGCAAGGGGAGCGGCAGACGGGUGAGUAACGCGUGGGAAUCUACCCAUCUCUACGGAGUAACGCCUGGAAACGUGUGCUAAUACCGUAUACGUCCUUCGGGAGAAAGAUUUAUCGGAGAUGGAUGAGCCCGCGUUGGAUUAGCUAGUUGGUGGGGUAAAGGCCUACCAAGGCGACGAUCCAUAGCUGGUCUGAGAGGAUGAUCAGCCACACUGGGACUGAGACACGGCCCAGACUCCUACGGGAGGCAGCAGUGGGGAAUAUUGGACAAUGGGCGCAAGCCUGAUCCAGCCAUGCCGCGUGAGUGAUGAAGGCCCUAGGGUUGUAAAGCUCUUUCACCGGUGAAGAUAAUGACGGUAACCGGAGAAGAAGCCCCGGCUAACUUCGUGCCAGCCGCCGCCGUAAAAC